UACAUAGGUGGCAAGCGUUGUCCGGAUUUAUUGGGCGUAAAGCGCGCGCAGGCGGUUUCUUAAGUCUGAUGUGAAAGCCCCCGGCUUAACCGGGGAGGGUCAUUGGAGACUGGGAGACUUGAGUGCAGAAGAGGAAAGUGGAAUUCCAAGUGUAGCGGUGAAAUGCGUAGAGAUUUGGAGGAACACCAGUGGCGAAGGCGACUUUCUGGUCUGUAACUGACGCUGAGGCGCGAAAGCGUGGGGAGCAAACAGG
rnacentral:rRNA from 1 species